GACGAACGCUGGCGGCGUGCUUAACACAUGCAAGUCGAACGGAAAGGCCCUGCUUUUGUGGGGUGCUCGAGUGGCGAACGGGUGAGUAACACGUGAGUAACCUGCCCUUGACUUUGGGAUAACUUCAGGAAACUGGGGCUAAUACCGGUUAGGAGCUCCUGCUGAAUGGGGGGGGUUGGAAGGUUUCGGCGGUGGGGGAUGGACUCGCGGCUUAUCAGCUUGUUGGUGGGGUAGUGGCUUACCAAGGCUUUGACGGGUAGCCGGCCUGAGAGGGUGACCGGCCACAUUGGGACUGAGAUACGGCCCAGACUCCUACGGGAGGCAGCAGUGGGGAAUAUUGCACAAUGGGCGGAAGCCUGAUGCAGCAACGCCGCGUGCGGGAUGACGGCCUUCGGGUUGUAAACCGCUUUCGCCUGUGACGAAGCGUGAGUGACGGUAAUGGGUAAAGAAGCACCGGCUAACUACGUG
rnacentral:rRNA from 1 species